UGGGGAAUUUUGGACAAUGGGCGAAAGCCGAUCCAGCAAUGCCGCGUGUGUGAAGAAGGCCUUCGGGUUGUAAAGCACUUUUGUCCGGAAAGAAAUCCUUGGCUCUAAUACAGUCGGGGGAUGACGGUACCGGAAGAAUAAGCACCGGCUAACUACGUGCCAGCAGCCGCGGUAAUACGUAGGGUGCAAGCGUUAAUCGGAAUUACUGGGCGUAAAGCGUGCGCAGGCGGUUUGCUAAGACCGAUGUGAAAUCCCCGGGCUCAACCUGGGAACUGCAUUGGUGACUGGCAGGCUAGAGUAUGGCAGAGGGGGGUAGAAUUCCACGUGUAGCAGUGAAAUGCGUAGAGAUGUGGAGGAAUACCGAUGGCGAAGGCAGCCCCCUGGGCCAAAUACUGACGCUCAUGCACGAAAGCGUGGGGAGCAAACAGGAUUAGAUACCCUGGUAGUCCACGCCCUAAAACGAUGUCAACUAGUUGUUGGGGAUUCAUUUCCUUAGUAACGUAGCUAACGCGUGAAGUUGACCGCCUGGGGAGUACGGUCGCAAGAUUAAAACUCAAAUGAAUUGACGGGGUCAUAGCUGUUUCCU
rnacentral:rRNA from 1 species